GACGAACGCUGGCGGCGUGCUUAACACAUGCAAGUCGAGCGGUAAGGCCCUUUCGGGGGUACACGAGCGGCGAACGGGUGAGUAACACGUGGGUGACCUGCCCUCAGCUCUGGGAUAAGCCCGGGAAACUGGGUCUAAUACCGGAUAUGACUCCAUGACGCAUGUUGUGGGGUGGAAAGCCUUGUGCGGCUGAGGAUGGGCCCGCGGCCUAUCAGCUUGUUGGUGGGGUGAUGGCCUACCAAGGCGACGACGGGUAGCCGGCCUGAGAGGGCGACCGGCCACACUGGGACUGAGACACGGCCCAGACUCCUACGGGAGGCAGCAGGUGGGGAAUCUUGCGCAAGUGGGCGAAAGCCUGACGCAGCGACGCCGCGUGAGGGAUGAC
rnacentral:rRNA from 1 species